rnacentral:rRNA from 1 species
UACGUAGGGAGCAAGCGUUGUCCGGAAUCAUUGGGCGUAAAGCGCGCGUAGGCGGCCCCGUAAGUCCGCUGUGAAAUCCCGGGGCUCAACCCCGGGCCUGCAGUGGAUACGGGCUGGCUAGAGGCAGGCAGGGGAGAACGGAAUUCCUGGUGUAGCGGUGAAAUGCGCAGAUAUCAGGAGGAACACCGGUGGCGAAGGCGGUUCUCUGGGCCUUACCUGACGCUGAGGAGCGAAAGCGUGGGGAGCGAACAGG